CGUAGACACAGUAUCACCCUGAAUGCGCCCUAUCUCAUCUGAUCUUGGAAGCUCAGCAGGGUUUCGGCCUGGUUAGUACUUGGAUGGGACACCACAUCACCUUCAGGGGCAGCGC
ensembl:rRNA 5S_rRNA 5S ribosomal RNA